GGUUAAGCGACUAAGCGUACACGGUGGAUGCCCUGGCAGUCAGAGGCGAUGAAGGACGUGCUAAUCUGCGAUAAGCGUCGGUAAGGUGAUAUGAACCGUUAUAACCGGCGAUUUCCGAAUGGGGAAACCCAGUGUGUUUCGACACACUAUCAUUAACUGAAUCCAUAGGUUAAUGAGGCGAACCGGGGGAACUGAAACAUCUAAGUACCCCGAGGAAAAGAAAUCAACCGAGAUUCCCCCAGUAGCGGCGAGCGAACGGGGAGCAGCCCAGAGCCUGAAUCAGUGUGUGUGUUAGUGGAAGCGUCUGGAAAGGCGCGCGAUACAGGGUGACAGCCCCGUACACAAAAAUGCACAUGCUGUGAGCUCGAUGAGUAGGGCGGGACACGUGGUAUCCUGUCUGAAUAUGGGGGGACCAUCCUCCAAGGCUAAAUACUCCUGACUGACCGAUAGUGAACCAGUACCGUGAGGGAAAGGCGAAAAGAACCCCGGCGAGGGGAGUGAAAAAGAACCUGAAACCGUGUACGUACAAGCAGUGGGAGCACGCUUAGGCGUGUGACUGCGUACCUUUUGUAUAAUGGGUCAGCGACUUAUAUUCUGUAGCAAGGUUAACCGAAUAGGGGAGCCGAAGGGAAACCGAGUCUUAACUGGGCGUUAAGUUGCAGGGUAUAGACCCGAAACCCGGUGAUCUAGCCAUGGGCAGGUUGAAGGUUGGGUAACACUAACUGGAGGACCGAACCGACUAAUGUUGAAAAAUUAGCGGAUGACUUGUGGCUGGGGGUGAAAGGCCAAUCAAACCGGGAGAUAGCUGGUUCUCCCCGAAAGCUAUUUAGGUAGCGCCUCGUGAAUUCAUCUCCGGGGGUAGAGCACUGUUUCGGCAAGGGGGUCAUCCCGACUUACCAACCCGAUGCAAACUGCGAAUACCGGAGAAUGUUAUCACGGGAGACACACGGCGGGUGCUAACGUCCGUCGUGAAGAGGGAAACAACCCAGACCGCCAGCUAAGGUCCCAAAGUCAUGGUUAAGUGGGAAACGAUGUGGGAAGGCCCAGACAGCCAGGAUGUUGGCUUAGAAGCAGCCAUCAUUUAAAGAAAGCGUAAUAGCUCACUGGUCGAGUCGGCCUGCGCGGAAGAUGUAACGGGGCUAAACCAUGCACCGAAGCUGCGGCAGCGACGCUGAUGCGUUGUUGGGUAGGGGAGCGUUCUGUAAGCCUGCGAAGGUGUGCUGUGAGGCAUGCUGGAGGUAUCAGAAGUGCGAAUGCUGACAUAAGUAACGAUAAAGCGGGUGAAAAGCCCGCUCGCCGGAAGACCAAGGGUUCCUGUCCAACGUUAAUCGGGGCAGGGUGAGUCGACCCCUAAGGCGAGGCCGAAAGGCGUAGUCGAUGGGAAACAGGUUAAUAUUCCUGUACUUGGUGUUACUGCGAAGGGGGGACGGAGAAGGCUAUGUUGGCCGGGCGACGGUUGUCCCGGUUUAAGCGUGUAGGCUGGUUUUCCAGGCAAAUCCGGAAAAUCAAGGCUGAGGCGUGAUGACGAGGCACUACGGUGCUGAAGCAACAAAUGCCCUGCUUCCAGGAAAAGCCUCUAAGCAUCAGGUAACAUCAAAUCGUACCCCAAACCGACACAGGUGGUCAGGUAGAGAAUACCAAGGCGCUUGAGAGAACUCGGGUGAAGGAACUAGGCAAAAUGGUGCCGUAACUUCGGGAGAAGGCACGCUGAUAUGUAGGUGAGGUCCCUCGCGGAUGGAGCUGAAAUCAGUCGAAGAUACCAGCUGGCUGCAACUGUUUAUUAAAAACACAGCACUGUGCAAACACGAAAGUGGACGUAUACGGUGUGACGCCUGCCCGGUGCCGGAAGGUUAAUUGAUGGGGUUAGCGCAAGCGAAGCUCUUGAUCGAAGCCCCGGUAAACGGCGGCCGUAACUAUAACGGUCCUAAGGUAGCGAAAUUCCUUGUCGGGUAAGUUCCGACCUGCACGAAUGGCGUAAUGAUGGCCAGGCUGUCUCCACCCGAGACUCAGUGAAAUUGAACUCGCUGUGAAGAUGCAGUGUACCCGCGGCAAGACGGAAAGACCCCGUGAACCUUUACUAUAGCUUGACACUGAACAUUGAGCCUUGAUGUGUAGGAUAGGUGGGAGGCUUGGAAGUGUGGACGCCAGUCUGCAUGGAGCCGACCUUGAAAUACCACCCUUUAAUGUUUGAUGUUCUAACGUUGACCCGUAAUCCGGGUUGCGGACAGUGUCUGGUGGGUAGUUUGACUGGGGCGGUCUCCUCCUAAAGAGUAACGGAGGAGCACGAAGGUUGGCUAAUCCUGGUCGGACAUCAGGAGGUUAGUGCAAUGGCAUAAGCCAGCUUGACUGCGAGCGUGACGGCGCGAGCAGGUGCGAAAGCAGGUCAUAGUGAUCCGGUGGUUCUGAAUGGAAGGGCCAUCGCUCAACGGAUAAAAGGUACUCCGGGGAUAACAGGCUGAUACCGCCCAAGAGUUCAUAUCGACGGCGGUGUUUGGCACCUCGAUGUCGGCUCAUCACAUCCUGGGGCUGAAGUAGGUCCCAAGGGUAUGGCUGUUCGCCAUUUAAAGUGGUACGCGAGCUGGGUUUAGAACGUCGUGAGACAGUUCGGUCCCUAUCUGCCGUGGGCGCUGGAGAACUGAGGGGGGCUGCUCCUAGUACGAGAGGACCGGAGUGGACGCAUCACUGGUGUUCGGGUUGUCAUGCCAAUGGCACUGCCCGGUAGCUAAAUGCGGAAGAGAUAAGUGCUGAAAGCAUCUAAGCACGAAACUUGCCCCGAGAUGAGUUCUCCCUGACUCCUUGAGAGUCCUGAAGGAACGUUGAAGACGACGACGUUGAUAGGCCGGGUGUGUAAGCGCAGCGAUGCGUUGAGCUAACCGGUACUAAUGAACCGUGAGGCUUAACCUU
rnacentral:rRNA from 1 species